CUUAAAAAGUCUAUUUGAAAGAAUUGCCCUAAUAUAUUUUCUUAAAUCAUUUUUCUAAAGAAAAUUAUAAUCACAAUUUCAUUAAUGAAAAUGAAAUUAAGAUUAUGAUUUGGGCUGAUGUAUACCGUUAUUUGGGCUCAAAAAAAUUGUUUGAUGUGUCAAAAACCCCAUUAGGUAUCUGUUUCUUUUUUUUCCGGGAAAAAAACAAACAGUUUUGUGUCACCGACGAAAGGAAACAAACUUAUUUUUCGAUAAAAACAAAGCUAAGAUCCAGACCACAUGUUCUUAUGUUUCUGGAUCAAAACUAAGAAUAUGUAUGCAGAUCAACGGGAGCACGGGUCAAGCUAAGAAGCUUACUAUAGAAGAUCUGUUUAUGAGAACUCAUGCCCUAACACACCGGCUUUGGAGGAGAAGACGAACAGAGAACAUCGAAGAGGAUUUGAGAUAGUCGGAGUCUACAUGGAAAGUAUUUUUCUUAAUUAUUCAAUUACUUAUAGAAUUUGGUAGCUGUAUAGUCAUGUGGUGAUGAUGUUUGUUGUCAAAUUUCAUUUUGUGUGUUUGCUAAUUCAGCUAUUGGAGCGCUUUAGAACUGUUCAUCCGCGGGCACGCAGAUAAUUUACUGAUUUUAGUUAUUUAUUUCUUCAGUUGCUUUGUGUGUAUAUUAAUUGGAAUUGGUAUAUCAGCUUCUCCAGAAGUGCUGCAAACAUAGAAGCAGUUUAUUGGAGCUGUAGUGGAGUUGAUAGAUCGAGAAUAAUUAUUAGAGGAGUUUGAUGAGGUUGCUUUUACAGAGCAUCGUGUCUUUGGCAAGCCAGUGGAGGAGGAAGACAAUUAUUUUCAUGGGAAGAGCACUGUUGAAAAGAAGUAAGUACGGCUGGUUUUAAUAUGUGUAUUUACUUAUUUAUCAGAGUUUCAGAGAUUACUCCAUGAAAAUGGACAACAAAUUUGUAUUUUUCUAGUGUGUUGAGCGGUUGUUGUUUUUUGUUUACAAUGAGAAAAUGUGGGCGAAGGAACAACCACAAGCUGAGCAGAACGAAGUUACUCUCCCACCCUGAGCAGAGAAAGUAAACAACAACUUAGGAUUAUGGUAACAAAUUAGAAAGGCAUCUGACGGAAAUUAGGAGGAAAGAUAACAGAGCUAAAAGAUAUCUACCUUGGAGAAAAAAAAAGAAGUGGAAAAAAAUCUUCCUAUGAAUAAUUACGUAAUAUAUGGGACUGAUUUCUAUAUAUUGCUAAGAUUGCAUGCGAGAUUUUAGGUUGUAGCGUCUUUUUUAAAAAUUAAUUGAAUUAAUUAAACCAGAUGGUUUAGAAGAUUAACGGGACAGGAUAAGAAACAUUGGUUAAAGCCUUAUGUUAAUGAAAUUACUAAAAGACCAA